AGUGGUAACAGGCAACAACCUGAACCCAGCUCCUCUGAGUUCAGAAAGGAGAUACCCUUUAUAUUGUGAAUGAUUUAACUUCCACAAAAGCAAUUUGUUACCAAGAACUGGACCUUGAAAUGCAGUUUCACGAAUCAACUAGGAAAAUGCUAUGGACAAUGCUGACCUCUGCAGAAUGACAGUGGGAAACCAGCUGUGAAGCCACUGCUACUAGCCCAUUAUCUGGCCUUUGUCAUGUGCUCUACAACAAUUACAUCUAUAUUCUUUAAAGGAGGAUGACCUACAAGACCUUGCCAGCUUCAAUCUUUUGGGCAGCCAUCGACUAAGAGCUUAUUCAGCCCAUUGAUUUAGUAGCAAGCUGAAAGUGAUGAAGCUGAAAGGACAGCUGGAGCACAAAUUUUAUCCAUUGGGAAUGGAUGAAAUUAAGCAUGGAUUGAAGACUGUUUGGAGAUCUGCUCUGCAGCAAUGAAAGCAAUAAACAGUA